AUGGUGUGUAGUGGUGGUGCCAGUGGUGGUGGUAGUGGUGCCACAGGGGGUGAGGCUCUCGUGUGCCGGGUAGCUGCUGUGGUUCCCGGUACGAGCGAGGCUUCAGCAAGGCAGGCAUUACAUGUUGCCAGCGGGGAUUACCAGGGUGCUGUGCGCUUCCUUAAGGUGGAAAAACUUUACAGACUGGGUGUAACGAGCAAAGAUGAGUGUGAGGUGAUUUUGGAGGCCAACAGCUGGGAGUUAGAAAGGUCAGCCUCAGCUCUGCUAGACAAGUUUGUCUAAGAAUGGAAAAUAGAGAUGCUAAGUUGGAUCCCUCUAGACGUGCAAAGGAACAUUGCUGGUAUGACUGUCAACAACAGAGCCAUAUGCAGGAACAAAGAUCCUAAGCAUGAUCAGAUACAUGGAAGAGAUUGCUUUCCAGUUUGACAAGCAAACUAUAUGUCUUAGUGAUGAUUCUGCAUGUUGGUGUGCAUUUGAAUCCCACUUUCAGUCCGUGAAGCUUUUUUGAUCCAUUUUGAGGAUGAUUGUAAUGAUGAUUGU
rnacentral:misc_RNA from 1 species